CUCUAUAGCCAAGCCGCACUGAACAUACCUGAUCUCAUCUAUUCUUGGAAAUAAGCAGGAUUGAGCCUUGUUAGUACUUGGAAUGGAAACCACUUGGGCAUGCCAGCUGUUAUAGGGA
rnacentral:rRNA from 1 species